rnacentral:rRNA from 1 species
AGGUCAAGUGAAGAAGGGCGCACGGUGAAUGCCUUGGCACUGGAAGCCGAUGAAGGACGCGACUAACCGCGAAAGUCUUCGGGGAGCCGUAAGUAGGCUUUGAUCCGGAGGUCUCCGAAUGGGGGAACCCAGCAUGUG